rnacentral:rRNA from 1 species
AAUUGACCUCGGAUCAGGUAGGGAUACCCGCUGAACUUAAGCAUAUCAAUAAGCGGAGGAAAAGAAACCAACAGGGAUUGCCUCAGUAACGGCGAGUGAAGCGGCACCAGCUCAAAUUUGAAAUCUGGCCCCUUCGGGGUCCGAGUUGUAAUUUGUAGAGGAUGUUUCGGGCGCGGCGCCGGUCUAAGUCCCUUGGAACAGGGCGUCAUAGAGGGUGAGAAUCCCGUAUGUGACUGGUGACCAACCCCAUGUGAAACCCCUUCGACGAGUCGAGUUGUUUGGGAAUGCAGCUCAAAAUGGGUGGUAAAUUUCAUCUAAAGCUAAAUACCGGCCAGAGACCGAUAGCGCACAAGUAGAGUGAUCGAAAGAUGAAAAGCACUUUGGAAAGAGAGUCAAACAGUACGUGAAAUUGUUGAUAGGGAAGCGCUUGCGACCAGACCUGCUUGGCGGGUGUUCAGCGGGCAUUCGUGCCCGUGCACUCGUCCGCCAUCAGGCCAGCAUCGGUUUUGGCGGCCGGAUAAAGACCGGAGGAAUGUAGCUUCGCUUCGGGGAAGUGUUAUAGCCUUCGGUGCCAUACGGCCAGCCGGGACCGAGGACCGCGCUUCGGCUAGGAUGCUGGCGUAAUGGUCGUAAGCGACCCGUCUUGAAACACGGACCAAGGAGUCUAACAUUUAUGUGAGUGUUUGGGUGUCAAACCCAUGCGCGUAAUGAAAGUGAACGGAGGUGGGAACCUGUCACAGGGCGCACCAUCGACCGAUCCAGAAGUUUACGGAUGGAUUUGAGUAAGAACAUAACUGUUGGGACCCGAAAGAUGGUGAACUAUACCUGAAUAGGGUGAAGCCAGAGGAAACUCUGGUGGAGGCUCGCAGCGGUUCUGACGUGCAAAUCGAUCGUCAAAUUUGGGUAUAGGGGCGAAAGACUAAUCGAACCAUCUAGUAGCUGGUUCCUGCCGAAGUUUCCCUCAGGAUAGCAGUAACGUUUUCAGUUUUAUGAGGUAGAGCGAAUGAUUAGAGGCCUUGGGGCUGAAACAGCCUUAACCUAUUCUCAAACUUCUAAUAUGUAAGAAGUCCUUGUUACUUAGUUGAACGUGGACAUUUGAAUGCACCG